CGUCUAUUAUAAUUCGUUUGACAUGACUAUACCAAACGGGUCUGUCAUGCCUUUCGCAAAACUAUCGAAAUAAAUUAUAUUAAAUUUGUUAUUCUGCCAUGUGAGGUAUGUUACCUAUUGAAAAUUUAUUUAAAUCCAGUAUCCUGUACUCCUGGGGAGCGCGUUUGCUGGGAGCUCUGGCACCAGCAUUCAGAAUGGCGACCCCAUAUGUAUAAAUGGCGAGAGCAUUGGAGGAAUGCGGGUGCGGGGAGCAAAGAAACUUCGUGAAACUAAACUAUACAGAAGAGAUAAUACUGGGAAUGUCUUCUUUAGGGUUCUAGGUAAUAUUUUUCGUCAGGUUGUGGACCAAAGACCGGAAUAAAAAACAUUCACUGUGAUUUCAUAGUUCCCGUACAUCAGAUAAACGUAUGACAGUCGUAAUUAAUAUAGAAAUCUCCAGUAACGUUAAAUUCCGAAGUAGUUCAACUUACAAGGUUAACUCGCGUACCCUGCGAUUUUAGAGGAUUUUUUCCCUGCGGAUGGAAUAAGCUUUGUGCUGAAGUUUUCCCAAGAUAUAAAUAUAGUUAUAUAUAUAUAUAUAUAUAUAAAUAUAGUUCUUCAAGAGAGAAGUGCAUAGUCAUUUGAAGAGGCGGCAACAAGCAAGUGACACCUCUGAUAUUGCAGGCGUUUAUAGGCUUCCGUACCCGACCUGCUUAGCAUCAAACAUGCCGUACGUUUGUUUUAACAUCGAAGUUCCAUAAAAAUAAUAAUAAUCAACUUCAUCAUCAUCAUCAGCCUAUCGGAACCCACUGCUGAGCAAAGGCCUUUUCUAACAUGGAGAGGGUUAGAGCACUAAGCACCACGCUUGCUCAAGACAGGUUGGCGAUUUCAAUCUUAUAAUUUGAAAUUAUAAGACCAGGUUUCCUCACGAUGUUUUCCUUCACCGUCUGUCAAUGGUGUCCGUCAGUGGUGGUGAAAAGAUCACAUUUGUACUUGCCAGGUUUAGAACCCGCGCCCUCAACUAUCUGAGGCGGGCCUUUAACCUCCAGGCCUCCACGAAUAAAUAAUAAUAAAAUCUGUCUUAAUAAAUACAUUUUUUUAAAAUAAAUGUAUUAUUUUUCGAUAAACGCAAACAAUUAGCUAUAGAAACUUUCGAGGUUAUAGUAUUAAGUUUAUAAAAACCACAAAACUGAAAUGAACUUAUCAGUUCCGUUAACUUUGUUAGUUACUAUUAAGAUUAGUUUGCUGAAAUCGUCUAAAUUUCAAGGGCGUCAAAGGUUUUGUUUAGCGGCUUUUUCGUAACCUCCGCGCUCUGACCUUUUAGCUAUUAUUAAAUUGCGAAAGUAAAUUACUUUAACUUCAUUCAUUGUUAUUCAGAAACUGGUUUGUUUCGGAUUUGGUAAUAUUAAAAUUAUGGAUAUUUAUUAUUGCCUAUCUUAAAUGUUUAAUGUAUAUGUGUUGACUAUGUUUGAUCCUUUAUACUGGAUGAUAAAUUUUGUGGGAGUCGUAACUGUAGACAGGAUUUCAUAGAAAAUGCUAAUACAUUACCCUCCGGCUCAUUGAUAAGGCUAGAAUGUACAUAAAUUCUUUUGAGAAUUGUUAUGUAAAACACUGCUUUAACCUAAACGUAUCUUUUAUGUUUCUGUAUUUAUUAAAUUAUUAAUAAUUAAAACACUCUAGGGCGUCCGUAACAAUGUAGCGUUGACAAUGGCGGACAAAUUGAAAGGUGAAAGGUGAAGUGAUGGAUCUGCGACACGGUUCCUGUCUAAAAGGACGCUAAGAUCAAAUCAGCACGGAUGAAGGCCAUAUUAUAAAAAAAAGAAAUAUCAAAUCAAGCACAAUACAAUAGUUACAAAAUAAUGCUAAGUAUUUAGUUUUUAUAAACGAUUUAUAAAAAAAUCUUUCCGGGCGUUCCAAUUUCAAAGAUCUGUGUAGUUGCAUGGUAGUCUGACUCAUUGAACAUCAUUAUUCCACAGGUUCAUAGGAUCAGGAACCAACCUUGACUCAACUCGUUUCAAGUACUUGCUACCCAAGAAGCUAGCUGUAGCCUCUACUUCCUGUCACCGGUCUCGGAUAUGUCAUCAGUGAACACGGAGACAGUUGUGGUGUGAUAUCACAUGCAGAGUUUCAUUCUAUUCAAUAUUUUUUACAAUUUGCAAUAUGUCUUAUUAUAGUCUCACUCACAACUAGGAGAUAAGGCUUAAUUUUCAAACGUGGAAUUCAAACCCAAAAGGUUUCUGUUGUUGAAAAAAUCUUUGGAUGUUGGCAAUUACGUCUGUUUUUACUAGUUUUAUUUGUUGCACCUGUAGGGUCUGAUGGAUAUAGCUGGUGUGCAUCUCAGCAAUAUCUACCCUAAGAUAGGUUCAGUUUAUGAUCCUGCAAACCUGUAAAAGACCCACAAAGAUGUGGUUACAAGCGCCUAUGAAGUCAUCAAACUUGAAGGCUAUAAUUUCUGGGCUAUUGGACUAUCUCAAUCACAACUCUAUCGCGAUAUACUUUACAACAUGAAUAGUGUACACCCUGUCACAACCUGUGUUAAGGGUGAGCAUGGUAUGAAUGAUGAAGUUUUCUUGUCCCCGCCUUAUGUGCUCGGGAGAAAAGAGGGUGGGCUAGCCCCGCUUUAAAAAUCAGCAGAACUCAUGUUAAAAUUGUAAGCCGCAUUAAAGAUUUAGGAUAAUUUAUAUGUAUAGCGGAAUGUAUUUAAGCAACUUAAUUGUUUAA